rnacentral:rRNA from 1 species
AUUGAACGCUGGCGGCAGGCCUAACACAUGCAAGUCGAGCGAGCGGCGGACGGGUGAGUAAUGUCUGGGAAACUGCCUGAUGGAGGGGGAUAACUACUGGAAACGGUAGCUAAUACCGCAUACCAUCAGAUGUGCCCAGAUGGGAUUAGCUAGUAGGUGGGGUAACGGGGCACCUUGGCGACGAUCCCUAGCUGGUCUGAGAGGAUGACCAGCCACACUGGAACUGAGACACGGUCCAGACUGCUACGAGAGGCAGCAGUGGUGAAUAUGGCACAAUGGGCGCAAGCCUGGUGCAGCCAUGCCGCGUGUGUGAAGAAGGCCUUCGGGUUGUAAGGCACUUUCAGCGGGGAAGCGUUACCCGCAGAAGAAGCACCGGCUAACUCCGUGCCAGCCGCCGCGGUAAUUC